rnacentral:rRNA from 1 species
UACAGAGGUCCCGAGCGUUGUUCGGAUUCACUGGGCGUAAAGGGUGCGUAGGUGGCUUGAAAAGUUUGAUGUGAAAGCUCAGGGCUUAACCCUGAAAUGGCAUUGAAUACUGUCGAGCUGGAGGUUUGGAGGGGGGACUGGAAUUCCUGGUGUAGCGGUGAAAUGCGCAGAUAUCAGGAGGAACACCGGUGGCGAAGGCGGCAUCCUGGACCGGUAUUGACGCUGAGGCGCGAAAGCUAGGGUAGCAAACGGG